AACGAACGCUGGCGGCAGGCCUAACACAUGCAAGUCGAGCGAGGACUUCGGUUCUAGCGGCGGACGGGUGAGUAACGCGUGGGAAUGUGCCCUUCUCUACGGAAUAGCCCUGGGAAACUGGGAGUAAUACCGUAUACGCCCUAUUGGGGAAAGAUUUAUCGGAGAAGGAUCAGCCCGCGUUGGAUUAGGUAGUUGGUGGGGUAAUGGCCUACCAAGCCGACGAUCCAAAGCUGGUUUGAGAGGAUGAUCAGCCACACUGGGACUGAGACACGGCCCAGACUCCUACGGGAGGCAGCAGUGGGGAAUCUUAGACAAUGGGGGCAACCCUGAUCUAGCCAUGCCGCGUGAGUGAUGAAGGCCUUAGGGUUGUAAAGCUCUUUCAGCUGGGAAGAUAAUGACGGUACCAGCAGAAGAAGCCCCGGCUAACUCCGUG
rnacentral:rRNA from 1 species